rnacentral:rRNA from 1 species
GACGAACGCUGGCGGCGUGCUUAACACAUGCAAGUCGAACGGAAAGGCCCCGCUUUGGGGUGGUCGAGGGGUGGACGGGGGGGGAACAACAGGGUAAUCUCCCCUUGACUUUGGGAUAACUUCAGGAAACUGGGGCUAAUACCGCAUAGGAGCUGCUGCUGCAUGGUGGGGGUGGGUGGGUUUCGGCGGUUGGGGAUGGACUCGCGGCUUAUCAGCUUGUUGGUGGGGUAGUGGCUUACCAAGGCUUUGUCGGGUAGCCGGCCUGAGAGGGUGACCGGCCACAUUGGGACUGAGAUACGGCCCAGACUCCUACGGGAGGCAGCAGUGGGGAAUAUUGCACAAUGGGCGGAAGCCUGAUGCAGCAACGCCGCGUGCGGGAUGACGGCCUUCGGGUUGUAAACCGCUUUCGCCUGUGACGAAGCGUGAGUGACGGUAAUGGGUAAAGAAGCACCGGCUAACUACGUG